UCCCCGGUAGCUCAAUCGGUAGAGCAUCCGGCUGUUAACCGGAGGGUUGCUGGUUCGAGUCCAGCCCGGGGAG
rnacentral:tRNA from 1 species